ACGGGAGGCAGCAGUGGGGAAUAUUGGGCAAUGGGGGCAACCCUGACCCAGCAACGCCGCGUGAAGGAAGAAGGCUUUCGGGUUGUAAACUUCUUUUACCAGGGACGAAGGACGUGACGGUACCUGGAGAAAAAGCCACGGCUAACUACGUGCCAGCAGCCGCGGUAAUACGUAGGGAGCGAGCGUUGUCCGGAAUUACUGGGUGUAAAGGGAGCGUAGGCGGGAUUGCAAGUCAGAUGUGAAAUACAGGGGCUCAACCUCUGGGCUGCAUUUGAAACUGUAGUUCUUGAGUGAAGUAGAGGUAAGCGGAAUUCCUGGUGUAGCGGUGAAAUGCGUAGAUAUCAGGAGGAACACCGGUGGCGAAGGCGGCUUACUGGGCUUUUACUGACGCUGAGGCUCGAAAGCGUGGGGAGCAAACAGGAUUAGAUACCCUGGUA
rnacentral:rRNA from 1 species